AACAACUCUCGGCCUUUUGGCUAAAAUCAAGGGUUUGUUUGGUAGAGCUAAAACUUCUAAAUUUAGGUACAGGAGUUGAGUCUGGGGUAGAGCUGUUUAAAUCCAGCUCCACUUUUUUAGUUUAUUUUGUGAGAUAACUCUGCUCCCAUUUUUGGUAGAGCUUAA
rnacentral:snRNA from 1 species